GACGAAAGCUGGCGUCGUGCUUAACACAUGCAAGUCGAACGAUGAACCCGGAGCUUGCUCCGGCGGAUUAGUGGCGAACGGGUGAGUAACACGUGAGUAACCUGCCCUUGACUCUGGGAUAACUGCUAGAAAUGGUAGCUAAUACCGGAUACGACCCUCGGUGGCAUCAUCAGGGGGUGGAAAGAAUUUCGGUCAAGGAUGGACUCGCGGCCUAUCAGCUAGUGGGUGAGGUAACGGCUCACCAAGGCGACGACGGGUAGCCAGACUGAGAGGGUGACCGGCCACACUGGGAGUGAGACGCGGCCAUGACUCGUACGUGAGGCAGCAGUGGGGAAUAUUGCACAAUGGGCGCAGGCCUGAUGCAGCAACGGCGCGUGAGUGAAGAAGUCCUUCGGGUUGUAAAGCUCUUUUGUCAGGGAAGAAACACCGGCUCUAACACAGUCCGGGAAUGACGGUACCUGAAGGAUAAGCACCGGCUAAC
rnacentral:rRNA from 1 species